rnacentral:rRNA from 1 species
AUGAACGCUAGCUACAGGCUUAACACAUGCAAGUCGAGGGGCAGCAUGGUCUUAGCUUGCUAAGACUGAUGGCGACCGGCGCACGGGUGAGUAACACGUAUCCAACCUGCCGUCUACUCUUGGACAGCCUUCUGAAAGGAAGAUUAAUACAAGAUGGCAUCAUGAGUCCGCAUGUUCACAUGAUUAAAGGUAUUCCGGUAGACGAUGGGGAUGCGUUCCAUUAGAUAGUAGGCGGGGUAACGGCCCACCUAGUCUUCGAUGGAUAGGGGUUCUGAGAGGAAGGUCCCCCACAUUGGAACUGAGACACGGUCCAAACUCCUACGGGAGGCAGCAGUGAGGAAUAUUGGUCAAUGGGCGAGAGCCUGAACCAGCCAAGUAGCGUGAAGGAUGACUGCCCUAUGGGUUGUAAACUUCUUUUAUAAAGGAAUAAAGUCGGGUAUGGAUACCCGUUUGCAUGUACUUUAUGAAUAAGGAUCGGCUAACUCCGUGCCAGCAGCCGCGGUAAUACGGAGGAUCCGAGCGUUAUCCGGAUUUAUUGGGUUUAAAGGGAGCGUAGAUGGAUGUUUAAGUCAGUUGUGAAAGUUUGCGGCUCAACCGUAAAAUUGCAGUUGAUACUGGAUAUCUUGAGUGCAGUUGAGGCAGGCGGAAUUCGUGGUGUAGCGGUGAAAUGCUUAGAUAUCACGAAGAACUCCGAUUGCGAAGGCAGCCUGCUAAGCUGCAACUGACAUUGAGGCUCGAAAGUGUGGGUAUCAAACAGGAUUAGAUACCCUGGUAGUCCACACGGGAAACGAUGAAUACUCGCUGUUUGCGAUAUACUGCAAGCGGCCAAGCGAAAGCGUAAGUAUUUCCACCUGGGGAGUACGCCGGCAACGGUGAAACUCAAAGGAAUUGACGGGGGCCCGCACAAGCGGAGGAACAUGUGGUUUAAUUCGAUGAUACGCGAGGAACCUUACCCGGGCUUAAAUUGCAGAUGAAUUACGGUGAAAGCCGUAAGCCGCAAGGCAUCUGUGAAGGUGCUGCAUGGUUGUCGUCAGCUCGUGCCGUGAGGUGUCGGCUUAAGUGCCAUAACGAGCGCAACCCUUGUUGUCAGUUACUAACAGGUUCCGCUGAGGACUCUGACAAGACUGCCAUCGUAAGAUGUGAGGAAGGUGGGGAUGACGUCAAAUCAGCACGGCCCUUACGUCCGGGGCUACACACGUGUUACAAUGGGGGGUACAGAGGGCCGCUACCACGCGAGUGGAUGCCAAUCCCCAAAACCUCUCUCAGUUCGGACUGGAGUCUGCAACCCGACUCCACGAAGCUGGAUUCGCUAGUAAUCGCGCAUCAGCCACGGCGCGGUGAAUACGUUCCCGGGCCUUGUACACACCGCC